rnacentral:rRNA from 1 species
UACAGAGGGGGCAAGCGUUGUUCGGAAUUACUGGGCGUAAAGGGCGCGUAGGCGGCCCGCUAAGUCGAACGUGAAAUCCCCGGGCUUAACCCGGGAACUGCGUCCGAUACUGGCAGGCUUGAAUCCGGGAGAGGGAUGUGGAAUUCCAGGUGUAGCGGUGAAAUGCGUAGAUAUCUGGAGGAACACCGGUGGCGAAGGCGGCAUCCUGGACCGGUAUUGACGCUGAUGAGCGAAAGCUAGGGGAGCAAACGGG